rnacentral:miRNA from 1 species
UACAUGCGUAUAUUCUGGCAG